rnacentral:rRNA from 1 species
AGUGAACGCUGGCGGUAGGCCUAACACAUGCAAGUCGAACGGCAGCACAGUAAGAGCUUGCUCUUACGGGUGGCGAGUGGCGGACGGGUGAGGAAUACAUCGGAAUCUACUUUUUCGUGGGGGAUAACGUAGGGAAACUUACGCUAAUACCGCAUACGACCUACGGGUGAAGGCAAGGGAUCUUCGGACCUUGCGCGAUUGAAUGAGCCGAUGUCGGAUUAGCUAGUUGGCGGGGUAAAGGCCCACCAAGGCGACGAUCCGUAGCUGGUCUGAGAGGAUGAUCAGCCACACUGGAACUGAGACACGGUCCAGACUCCUACGGGAGGCAGCAGUGGGGAAUAUUGGACAAUGGGCGCAAGCCUGAUCCAGCCAUACCGCGUGGGUGAAGAAGGCCUUCGGGUUGUAAAGCCCUUUUGUUGGGAAAGAAAAGCAGCAGGUUAAUACCCCGCUGUUCUGACGGUACCCAAAGAAUAAGCACCGGCUAACUUCGUG